AAAUAAGAAGCAAAUAAUUGCAUUUAGUUUCGACCUAAAAAUUUGAUAAUUCUAUCCUUAUUUA
rnacentral:tRNA from 1 species